rnacentral:rRNA from 1 species
AGGGCGGGACACGUGGUAUCCUGUCUGAAUAUGGGGGGACCAUCCUCCAAGGCUAAAUACUCCUGACUGACCGAUAGUGAACCAGUACCGUGAGGGAAAGGCGAAAAGAACCCCGGCGAGGGGAGUGAAAAAGAACCUGAAACCGUGUACGUACAAGCAGUGGGAGCACAGGUUUACCUGUGUGACUGCGUACCUUUUGUAUAAUGGGUCAGCGACUUAUAUUCUGUAGCAAGGUUAACCGUAUAGGGGAGCCGGAGGGAAACCGAGUCUUAACCGGGCGUUAAGUUGCAGGGUAUAGACCCGAAACCCGGUGAUCUAGCCAUGGGCAGGUUGAAGGUUGGGUAACACUAACUGGAGGACCGAACCGACUAAUGUUGAAAAAUUAGCGGAUGACCUGUGGCUGGGGGUGAAAGGCCAAUCAAACCGGGAGAUAGCUGGUUCUCCCCGAAAGCUAUUUAGGUAGCGCCUCGUGAAUUCAUCUCCGGGGGUAGAGCACUGUUUCGGCUAGGGGGCCAUCCCGGCUUACCAACCCGAUGCAAACUGCGAAUACCGGAGAAUGUUAUCACGGGAGACACACGGCGGGUGCUAACGUCCGUCGUGAAGAGGGAAACAACCCAGACCGCCAGCUAAGGUCCCAAAGUCAUGGUUAAGUGGGAAACGAUGUGGGAAGGCCCAGACAGCCAGGAUGUUGGCUUAGAAGCAGCCAUCAUUUAAAGAAAGCGUAAUAGCUCACUGGUCGAGUCGGCCUGCGCGGAAGAUGUAACGGGGCUAAACCAUGCACCGAAGCUGCGGCAGCGAACGUAUCACCCAAGACAACUUUACGGAGUUGACGAUUGACGGAGCGAAGCGACGUCAAAGCGUUCAUUAAAGUCGAGUUGGCUUAGGGAUACGUUCGUUGGGUAGGGGAGCGUUCUGUAAGCCUGUGAAGGUGGCCUGUGAGGGUUGCUGGAGGUAUCAGAAGUGCGAAUGCUGACAUAAGUAACGAUAAAGCGGGUGAAAAGCCCGCUCGCCGGAAGACCAAGGGUUCCUGUCCAACGUUAAUCGGGGCAGGGUGAGUCGACCCCUAAGGCGAGGCCGAAAGGCGUAGUCGAUGGGAAACGGGUUAAUAUUCCCGUACUUGGUGUUACUGCGAAGGGGGGACGGAGAAGGCUAUGUUGGCCGGGCGACGGUU